UACGCAGGGUGCAAGCGUUACUCGGAAUUACUGGGCGUAAAGCGUGCGUAGGUGGUUUGUUAAGUCUGAUGUGAAAGCCCUGGGCUCAACCUGGGAAUUGCAUUGGAUACUGGCAGUCUAGAGUGCGGUAGAGGGUAGCGGAAUUCCCGGUGUAGCAGUGAAAUGCGUAGAUAUCGGGAGGAACAUCCGUGGCGAAGGCGGCUACCUGGACCAGCACUGACACUGAGGCACGAAAGCGUGGGGAGCAAACAGG
rnacentral:rRNA from 1 species